rnacentral:rRNA from 1 species
AGGGAAGGACAAUCCCGCGAGGAGGNGCAAAACCCUAAAAACGGUCUCAGUUCGGACUGCAGGCUGCAACCCGCCUGCACGAAGUUGGAAUUGCUAGUAAUCGCGGAUCAGCAUGCCGCGGUGAAUACGUUCCCGGGUCUUGUACACACCGCCCGUCACACCAUGGGAGCCGGUAAUACCCGAAGUCAGUAGUUUAACCCUUGUGGAGGACGCUGCCGAAGGUAGGAUUGGCGACUGGGGUGAAGUCGUAACAAGGUAGC